CCUACGGGUGGCAGCAGUGGGGAAUAUUGCGCAAUGGGCGCAACCCUGAUGCAGCGACGCCGCGUGAGGGAAGAAGUAUUUCGGUUUGUAAAGCUCUAUCAGCAGGGACGAAAAUGACAGUACUUGACCAAGAAUCCCCGACUAACUACGGCCCAGCAGCCGCGGUAAUACGUAGGGGGCAAGCGUUGUCCGGAUGUACUGGGUGUAAUGGGAGCGUUGACGGUAAUGUAAGUAUGGAGUGAAAGCCGGGGGCUCAACCACGGGACUGCUUUGGACACUGUGUAACUGGAGUACAGGAGGGGCAGGCGGAAUUCCUGGUGUAGCGGUGAAAUGCGUAGAUAUCAGGAGGAACACCGGCGGCGAAGGCGGUCUGCUGGACUGAAACUGACGUUGAGGCUCGAAAGCGUGGGGAGCAAACAGGAUUAGAUACCCCUGUAGUC
rnacentral:rRNA from 1 species